UACGUAGGCAGCGAGCGUUGUUCGGAAUUACUGGGCGUAAAGAGUGUGUAGGCGGUGCUCUAAGUUCGGUGUGAAAUCUCCUGGCUCAACUGGGAGGGUGCGCCGGAAACUGGAGUGCUUGAGCGUGGGAGAGGAAAGCGGAAUUCCUGGUGUAGCGGUGAAAUGCGUAGAUAUCAGGAGGAGCACCUGUGGUGUAGACGGCUUUCUGGACCAUAGCUGACGCUGAGACACGAAAGCGUGGGUAGCAAACAGG
rnacentral:rRNA from 1 species